ensembl:ncRNA B0350.72 ncRNA
GGGUCGCUCUGUUCAGUGACACAUGCAAAAAAGCGAACGAACGAGAGCCAGCUGGCAGGAGAGAUUGUUAAAGCCGAAGAGACGCAGACGCUUAUUAGAUCC